GGCCGCGUGGCCUAAUGGCAAGGCGCCGGACUUCUAAACGCUGGGAGUAUCUUGUCGGUGCUCUGAUGAAGAAGGGGGAUCCGGAGAUUGCGAGUUCAAGUCUCGUCGUGGUCG